ensembl:lncRNA
GUGCGUGCCCCCCACGUCCCACAUACCCAGGCUCAAUCCCCUGGCACUGCAGCUGCAGGCGCAGGGCGCGGAUGCGCUGGGUGAUGCUGCGGAUCUGGGUGUGCAGGGCGGCUGCUCGCUCAGCACGGGGCAGCAGGACCAGGAGCUCCUCCCAGCUCUCCCGCAGCUGAGCCCGCAGCGCCCCAGCACUGCUCCCUGCUCCCCAAAGCUUCAUCGGAAUGGGAGAGUCUGGGGGUCGGGGAGCCUUACUGCUUGGCUGCACGGAGCCUGGAGCAGUGCCCAGUUGCGGCGGUGGGCGAAGAGGAGCGCAGCCAGGUGUGGGAUGGAGGCCGGGGAGAGCGGCUCCUCAUGCACAUACAGAUGCUCACACAGCGGGAACACCACCCUCGUGUCAAACCUCUCCUUCGUGGCCCGCAGGUGCUGCAGGGCAGAGUAGAGAGCCUCCGUGGGGGCAGAGGGCUGGCAACUGGGAUCAGAGCUCAUCUUGAGGGCCAGAGCCACGGCAAUACACCAUGGAGGGGGAGCAGCUGGGUGCCUGUGCCCCAGCCCAGCCCUGGG